rnacentral:rRNA from 1 species
UACGUAGGUCCCGAGCGUUGUCCGGAUUUAUUGGGCGUAAAGCGAGCGCAGGUGGUUUAUUAAGUCUGGUGUAAAAGGCAGUGGCUCAACCAUUGUAUGCAUUGGAAACUGGUAGACUUGAGUGCAGGAGAGGAGAGUGGAAUUCCAUGUGUAGCGGUGAAAUGCGUAGAUAUAUGGAGGAACACCGGUGGCGAAAGCGGCUCUCUGGCCUGUAACUGACACUGAGGCUCGAAAGCGUGGGGAGCAGACAGG